AGCGUAGGUUGUUGUUUAAGUGAAAUGUGAAAGCCCGUGGCUCAACUACGGAACUGCAUUUUAUACUGGACAACUAGAGUGCAGGAGGGGUAAGCGGAAUUCCUAGUGUAGCGGUGGAAUGCGUAGAUAUUAGGAAGAACACCAGAGGCGAAGGCGGCUUACUGGACUGUAACUGACACUGAGGCUCGAAAGCGUGGGGAGCAAACA
rnacentral:rRNA from 1 species